AUUGAACGCUGGCGGCAGGCCUAACACAUGCAAGUCGAGCGAGCGGAGGACGGGUGAGUAAUGUAUGGGGACUGCCCGAUAGAAGGGGAUAACUACUGGAAACGGUAGCUAAUACCGCAUACUAGCGGAUAACCGAUAUGGGAUUAGCUAGUAGGGGAGGUAAUGGCUCACCUAGGCUACGAUGCCUAGCUGGUCUGAGAGGAUGAUCAGACACACGGUGACUGAGACACGGCCCAGACUCCUACGGAGGCAGCAGUGUGGAAUAUUGCACAAUGGGCGAAAGCCUGAUGCAGCCAUGCCGCGUGUAUGAAGAAGGCCCUAGGAUUGUAAAAUACUUUCAGUCGGGAGGCGGUAGCGACAGAAGAAGCACCGGCUAACUCCGUGCCAGCCGCCGCGGUAAUAC
rnacentral:rRNA from 1 species